rnacentral:tRNA from 1 species
GGUAUUGCGCCGGAUGAACGGAUAACUCUGAUGAUGUUAAAUAUGGGUGCACAACCCCAAUACCU